GACGAACGCUGGCGGCGUGCUUAACACAUGCAAGUCGAACGGAAAGGCCCCUUUGGGGGUACUCGAGUGGCGAACGGGUGAGUAACACGUGAGUAACCUGCCCUUGACUUCGUGAUAACUUCAGGAAACUGGGGCUAAUACCGGAUAGGAAUCCUUGCUGCUUGGUGGGGGUUGGAAAGCUUCUGGGGUUUUGGAUGGACUCGCGGCUUAAUGGCGUGUUGGCGGGAUAGUGGCUUAACAGGGCGUCAACGGGUAGCCGGACUGUGGGAGGGACCGGCCGCCUUGGGACUGACGUACGGCCCAAGCGCCUACUGGAGGCCGCAGGGGGGAAUCUUGACCCAUGGGCGGAGCCCUGAUGAAGAAGCGCCGCGGGCGGGAUGACGGUCUUGGGGUUGUAAACCGCUUUCAGCAGGGGCCAAGCUUGUGGUGACGGUACCUGAAGAAGAAGCACCGGCUAACUACGUG
rnacentral:rRNA from 1 species